ensembl:lncRNA
AUGGGCAACGUGAAUCUUUGGAGAUCUGGUGCUGAACGUUCCCCCAAGCAGGGAAACUUAGACUUUCAAGGAGUUGUUGCAAAGAUCUUAGAUGUGUCAGUAACAGAAUUAGAAGAACUCAAUAGUUAUACUAUUGAUGAAUGUGAAGCUGAGUUGCAGAGGUAUUUAUCUUACAUGACCAAGCCCUCAACGGAAACUCACCUGGCCCAAGAGGUAAUGGGUGAGUUGGCUCUACUCUGCCACCGCAAGGUGCAGCUGAAGGCUGCAGAGUACGAAAAGAAGCUCUUCCUUGUGUGCAGUGGCUACAAAGCUGAGCAGGAGACUGUUUCCCACCUUAAGCAAAGUCUCUGGGUAACGAAACAAGAGCUGGAGCAGCUCCGGGAAGAUAAGGAGAGAUUGCAGCAGGACCAUGACGCCCUACAAUCUAGUCUCCUAGUGGCCCAUCAAGAGGUUGAGAAAGCCAGGAGGAAGAGCCAGAGUGAUCAGGUAGACACGGCAGCCAGUCCAAGGAGACCAGAGCUGACCAAGUCAGGCGUAGAUGGUGAGAGUAGGCUAGCUCCCAGGAAGGCUGAGCAGCCCCUGCCUCUUGACAGCCAAACAAACCGAUCACAUGCAAAGCUGCAGAUGCCCAAAGCAGGCGCAGUGGCUCUCGCCCAGAGGCUAGAGACCCCCCAGCCACCUCCUUACGAGCACCAGCUCAGUACAGCUACUUGUGUUACCAGUGAGAUAGCCAAAGGCAAAGGUUUUCAGACCACUACAGUGGCUGAGUACAGGGACACUAGCACUCCAGUGCACAGGAAAGCAUCCAGAGCAAACUUGUUUUACUCCCCCUCAUGCACUGAGGACAGGAAUGCCCCCACUCUGAGGAGGGAAAACUCACCUGAGAACCAGAGUGACAGUGGUAGGUUGAGCCCCCUGUUGGAGAAAGCACCUCGUCUCAAACGCAGGAAGCAGCGUCGGGUUCACCCACGUUACAGCGACCAGUGGGACGACACAGGCUCAAGUGACUCUGAUAGUGCUUAUCCUUCCCCAAACUUAGGUUUGCGCCUACGCCAGCUUGAAUCCCUAGCCAAGGACAUUGAGUGCUUUGACCCCAAGAGCCAUGAUUCUACCAUAGACGACUACUUGCAGGAAGUCGAUCGUUGCUUAUUGGACCUCCCUCAUGCAACAGCUCGCGAGAAACUAAAGCUAAUCUGGAAGACUACACCCAGGAGUGUCCAUGUCUUCAUGGAAACACUCAAGCCUGCCAUUCGGGAUCAAUACUCUUCACUCUGUCGAGCUUUAAGAGAAGAAUAUGCCCCAUAUUCUGAUCCGGCAGCAACUAUCUUUGAAGCGUUCAAUAUCUUACACAAAAGAAAUGAACCUCCCAAAGAAUAUUACAGGCGCCUCAGAAAGACCUACUUCCAAGGACGGAAUACACCAGGUCUAGAUGAAGACAGUACAUUCCAGUCCUUAUUCCUGCAUAAUCUCCAUGACAGCAUCCAAUUUGAUGUCGCCAUGCACUGUAAGACAGGCAGGCGCACAAUGCAGGGAGUUGUGAGAUAUGCCCAGCUGGUAUGGGAAACGCGUGUACGCCCCAUUAGGAGACCUGUAGUGGACGCCAGAGUUUUUAGCAUCCAGACCCAGCAAAAGUCUGACUUGACACUUGAAGGCCACGAAAUGCCUCAUGCUAAGAGAAGCAGACGAGGGCAAAGGAGGACUCAAAACCGCAGGUCACGUCGCCAGCAGGUUGACACAGCCAACCGGGAAGAUGAGCCUCUUCAACGCUGUAAUUCAAGGCCAAAACAACCUCGUUCCCACCCACGAGGGGGAAGAGGUCGGUUCAGACAGAACUUGAACCAUAGGUACAGGGACCACAGUCCAGUUCACCUGUCACGGGAAGACUCAGAGCUGGACAUUGUAAGUCUGGUACGGAGAUGCGUGGAGGAAGCCUUAAAAGAACUUGACAGGCCUAACAGUUCGGCUGCUCCUUCAGACCUCUCAACAGAAGCCAGACACUGA